AAAUUGAAGAGUUUGAUCAUGGCUCAGAUUGAACGCUGGCGGCAGGCCUAACACAUGCAAGUCGAACGGUAACAGGAAGCAGCUUGCUGCUUCGCUGACGAGUGGCGGACGGGUGAGUAAUGUCUGGGAAACUGCCCGAUGGAGGGGGAUAACUACUGGAAACGGUAGCUAAUACCGCAUAAUGUCGCAAGACCAAAGUGGGGGACCUUCGGGCCUCACACCAUCGGAUGUGCCCAGAUGGGAUUAGCUUGUUGGUGGGGUAACGGCUCACCAAGGCGACGAUCCCUAGCUGGUCUGAGAGGAUGACCAGCCACACUGGAACUGAGACACGGUCCAGACUCCUACGGGAGGCAGCAGUGGGGAAUAUUGCACAAUGGGCGCAAGCCUGAUGCAGCCAUGCCGCGUGUAUGAAGAAGGCCUUCGGGUUGUAAAGUACUUUCAGCGGGGAGGAAGGCGUUGUGGUUAAUAACCGCAGCGAUUGACGUUACCCGCAGAAGAAGCACCGGCUAACUCCGUGCCAGCAGCCGCGGUAAUACGGAGGGUGCAAGCGUUAAUCGGAAUUACUGGGCGUAAAGCGCACGCAGGCGGUUUGUUAAGUCAGAUGUGAAAUCCCCGGGCUCAACCUGGGAACUGCAUUUGAAACUGGCAAGCUUGAGUCUCGUAGAGGGGGGUAGAAUUCCAGGUGUAGCGGUGAAAUGCGUAGAGAUCUGGAGGAAUACUGGUGGCGAAGGCGGCCCCCUGGACGAAGACUGACGCUCAGGUGCGAAAGCGUGGGGAGCAAACAGGAUUAGAUACCCUGGUAGUCCACGCCGUAAACGAUGUCUAUUUGGAGGUUGUGCCCUUGAGGCGUGGCUUCCGGAGCUAACGCGUUAAAUAGACCGCCUGGGGAGUACGGCCGCAAGGUUAAAACUCAAAUGAAUUGACGGGGGCCCGCACAAGCGGUGGAGCAUGUGGUUUAAUUCGAUGCAACGCGAAGAACCUUACCUGGUCUUGACAUCCACGGAAUUUGGCAGAGAUGCCUUAGUGCCUUCGGGAACCGUGAGACAGGUGCUGCAUGGCUGUCGUCAGCUCGUGUUGUGAAAUGUUGGGUUAAGUCCCGCAACGAGCGCAACCCUUAUCCUUUGUUGCCAGCGAUUAGG
rnacentral:rRNA from 1 species